AAAAGAAAUCACUCAACAAAUUUAAUUCUCAAUAGGAAAGAAUUACAAAAUAUUUUAAAGGAAUAUAAUGCACCAAGCCCACCUUGGAUCAUUCCUAAUAAUCUAACUUAAAGUUUCCCAUUAAUAACAAAAUCGUUCGACCUCACGCGUCCACCAGCAUUUAAAGUUUUUCACUAAUAACAAAAUCGCUUCACGCGUCCACUUGUAUUUAGAGGAGCAACAUUAUUCAUCGUAGUCCUCUGCUAUUCCACCCAUGAGUCUCGGAUUUUGGCAUUUCUCAUUGUUGCAUAUAUAACUGUAGCUUAUGGUUGACCCAUAUGGAUUUGAGAAUGGAUUUUAUGCUCCUUCGACAGUCUGAAAUUUAGUGCUCAAUCUUUUCCAUGAUACCUUCCAAAAAUUUGCCCUCAUUGAUGAGUAUCAAGCCCAAUGCAUAUAUGAUUCGGUGACCCAAUUUUACUGCUUUCUUCAAAUAUUCCACACCCUCGUCUUUCUUCUUCAAGAUAAAGAUUUUCCUCUACAAAACAUAGAUAUACUCUUCAUUUAGUUUUUUAUUAAUAUUUUAUGUAAUGUAUUUAGAAUAAAGCAAGCAAUUCAUAAAGAUAAAUAUGAAGUUUUGUUAGAUGAAUUCAAUUUGUGAAAUUAUCAGCUCAAUGGUUUUACUCAACUCAAAAAGAAAAAAAUAAAAAGGUACCUUAAAAGCCAACAUGCAAUUUUAUUGUAAUACAACAAUCUUGUACUUCAAUUUUCAUUUUAAUACAAAAAUUUAGUGCUCAUACUAUUUAUAUAGGUAACUACUAAAAAAACAAAAUCUAGUUAUAAUUGGUGAUUUGAACACCAUCUAUUCAAUAAUCGGAUGCGACUAGAGUGAGUAACCCACAAAUAUGACGACUCUUAUGGUCGAUUCUAUGCUGGCUCCACCACGGGGGUUUUGAUCUACACCGAUGACUAUGGAUCUUCUUGGUCAUGAGGACUAUGGUCACUAUGACCUUCAAUCCUUGUUGUUGGACUUGCCAAAGUCAGACAUGUCCACAAUGUACAGUACACACUAUGCAUAUCAGUAUUUAACUAUCAGACCGAUUUACUCAGGCUUAGGCCCUGGCUAAGCCGAGUAUCCGGGUACUACUCCGGCAUAUUAAAAAUAAAAUAAAAAUUUGUCUAAACUUGUGGGAUCAAUGCAUUAAAAUUAUAUAUAAAAUGUGGAUUUUUUAUAAUGAUAUAUGAGUAUUUCUUAUUUAAAAAUUUCUUAUUUUUGUAUUUUUCUUUUUUGGAUUUUCAUAUUCAUGCGAAGUUUUGAUAAAAUUUUCCGUUGGCUGUCUAUUUAACAUAAUCCACCCUUUUUAUCGGGGCUUGAGACGGGCUUGGCAUGGAUUUUUCAUCUUAUUACAAACGAAUUUUUUUUGUAAAUCUAUAGUUUUUAUAUUUUUCAGAUUAUCUGGAUUUUUAUUUUAUUUUUUCGUGUUGUUUCACUUUUAUGAGUUUUAUUUUAUUUUGUACCAUUUUUUUUUUUAAUACAGUUUUAAGGUUUUCUCACCCUUUGUGUUACUCCAUGUCGUGUUAUUCAUGCUCGGACCACGCCAGAGUCCGAUGCCCAAGACGAGUCCAGAUAAUCAUCUCGGCCAUCAUUGAUUAGAAGGGACGGUGGAAAUGGUCUAUACACCCCAUACGCUAUGCGACAAGCUUUCCCUCUGCUAUAUGUUAGGGCGUAGUUUAACUUUCCCUCUGCCAUAUGUGGGGCGUAGUUUCCUAAUUUAUUAUUGAAUAGAGCAAAUAACUAUUUAUUGACUAACAAAUCCUAUUUUUUGUUGUUUAAAUGGAAAGUAAAGAAAGAUGCAAAAAUGUUCUAUCCAUUAUUGAGCAGAGAAACUAACGAAAGUUCCAUGAAAAGUUAUGGGUAAGCCGGAAACCAGUUAUGGGUAAGCCGGAAAACUGGGCAGUUUUUAGCCGCGCCAAAAAUUUAUUUAAAAAUAUAAAAUAUGAAAUUGAUUAAAAAAUAUGAACAAUAUGUUUAGAAUAAACCUAAACGAAACACAAUUAAAUAAAGUUAAAAAAAGUAUUGGAAAAAAUGGAUUUUGAAAAAGGCUGGGGUAUUUUUUAAAUAAUUCAAGAGUAUUUUAAAAAUAAUCCAAAAAAAAAGGAAAAAUGUAAAAAGUUAAUAUUUGUGGUCCAAACACUUUCCAAUCUUUUCUAAAAAGAUAAAAAACAUUAGAAAAUAAAUUACAAAUAAGUUUCUAAUUGUUUGGAUUUUAAUAAUUAUUUUUUAAAAUAUUUCAACAUCUUGGAACUUCACUACAAAAACCAGCUAAAACCAGACCGACCACGAGCCGAUUCGAGUUCAACCCGGCCGGUUGGCGAACACUGAACAGAUUCAUGCUAUUUUCUAAGGGGAAACAUGGUGACGUGGGGGGAGAGAGAGGAUUUACCCACAACACUGCAACAGAUAGAUAUCACCGCACAGGGGAAGAGAGUUUACCCAAACAGAGCACAGGGGGGAGAGAGAGUACACCCAAAACAGAGCACAGGGGGGAGAGGUUUUACCCAAAACAGAGCAGGGGGAGAGAGAAUUAAACCAAAAGAGUAGGGAGGAGAGAGAGAAACAAGGGACAAAUAUGGAUUGAUAGAGAGUAGGACCACCUCAAAAUGACAAGUGGGUCUCACUAUCUUUUUAUCAUCACUAUCCAUCCAGUAAUUUAGACGGUGUUCAAUUUAUGACCUUGUGUUUCUAUGGCAAUAUGAAAUUAUUAAUUCUUGUUUUCGGAUAAAUAUUGGAAAAAAAAAAAACCACACAUGGAACCACGGAAAUAACGGUAAUUAACUACUUCAGUUUCAUGUGAAAUAUAGGAAGCGAUAUAGUACCAUGAAAUUAAACCAACCCAAGACCAUGAAAAUACGCCAAGAAGCAUGAAAUAAACUAUGAAAUCUCACAAAAAAAAACAUGAAUCCAAAGUUCCAAACCAAGAACCACGGAAAUUUAACUAGCUUUUAAAAUAUGUCAAGAAGCAUGAAAUAAACUAUGAAUGUUGGAAAUGUGGCCCAUCAGGUCAUUUUUCUCUUGGAAAUUCUUUUUUUUAAUAAUGGUACAAAAACCAUAUUGAAGUAUAUGUGAAAUCCAAUGUGGUUGACAUGAGGCAAUGUCAUAUACAUUAUCUUUUUUUGAGUUUUAAUAGGAUGUAUCGCUGGAGGGAAAAACCAGUAUCACUGGAGGGAAAACUCAAUGGUGUGUUUGGAUUACUUGUAAAUUAUGGGAAUUCUUGGAUGACUUCCUAUUAUAUGAAUCAUUAGUGGACUAAUGACAGGUUUAGUUUAUUUCAUGACAGGUUUAGCUCAUUACAUAAGAUUAACAAUUUGGUAACAACUUGUUUAUUCUAAUUAGCCACACUUAAGGGAAUUAAAGCAGGAGUUACACUUGGAUCUCAACUCUUAUAAAUCAUGAAUGUGAGAGUUACAAAAUAAAUGUGUUCUCUAUAAAAAGAGGUUAACCCCUCUAAAAAAAGAGAAAAAGAUAUAAAAGAGGUGAAUGAAAUUCACCAAAAAUGACUCUCAAGGUUACCUGUCACCGGAUGGCUUGGUCUAUAGGAUUUGAUAUAGAACUUUAGGUCCUUCGUGUGAUUCAAGGAUAAAUUUGUUUAUCGAUUUCGAUUUUAAUUUUUUAUUAGUUUUCUUUGUCUUUGCUACCAAUAAUAAAGCCUCGAACUCAAACAAGAAAGAACAUGAAUCUAAACCAAGAACCACAAAAAUUUAAUUAGUGUGAAAUUGGGAAAAGAGAGGUUACCAUUCCCGUGAGGUAUUGAGCUUCAGGGUUUUCUUACAUCUGUGGAUUGUUUGAGGUGUGAGGUUGGUCUGUGUUUCUUUUCUUGCCAUAGGCUGUCAGCAACUACCUCCUUUGAAACGCCAGAGGGUCAUGUCAAAGGCCCUUAAACCUCUUACAACUAAAAACAAAAACAAAAACAAAAACCAUAUAACUCCUAAACGAAUUCAGAGGGAGAAAGUCGGAAAGAAAAAGUAGAGAAGAUUUAAAGAGGAAAAAAAUCACGUAUUCUUUAACACGCUGAGCUCCUCGAACGAGCUAGAGUUUGCUAAGCAACCAUUUCA
rnacentral:lncRNA from 1 species